AGAGUUUGAUCCUGGCUCAGAAUGAACGCUGGCGGCGUGCCUAACACAUGCAAGUCGAGCGAGAAAGGUCUUCGGACUAAGUAAAGCGGCGGACGGGUGAGUAUCGCGUGGGAAUCUGCCUUUUAGUGAAGAAUACCUUCGAGAAAUCGGAGUUAAUGCUGCAUAAGUCCUGAAAAGGAGAAAGAUGGCCUCUUUGCUGU
rnacentral:rRNA from 1 species